CUACACUCCUAUGUAAAUGGUUGAGAAGUACGAGUACCAUCGUACACCUUGUCACAAGAGAUAACUAACUACUUCCAUUUCAUUUCAUUAACAACCUUUGUUCUUGUUCUUAUUCUUAUAAUAAUAAGAAAAGGAGUAUGUGAAAUUUCACGACAGGCUGACGCCGUCAAACCAAAUUUCACUCUCAUUUUGAUUUUUGAGUGCGUUCCAGGAAACACAACUCUGCUCUCCAGAUCCUCACUCCCUUCAAUUUUCUCUCUCCACUCCCAAACUUCCAUUCCACGCGUCCAAUUUCGGUCGCGCAAACCAUGUUCCGUUGCCUCGGAAAUUAGGGUUUGGCACGUGGGGAAAUCUAUGGCCACCGUGAAUCCACAGCCUCUGCAGUUCGAGGACCCUGACAUACCCGUCGACGACGACGACGAUGCUAUGGACGAGUUGGAGGAUGCAAAUGUUAAUUCAGUUAGCGUUGCUAAUGCUGCGAGUGCGAGUCAUGAAGCGGUACUUGCUAUGCCUUCUAGAACUAGCGAGCUCACUCUUUCUUUUGAGGGUGAGGUUUAUGUCUUUCCAGCUGUCACUCCUCAGAAGGUGCAAGCCGUAUUGCUGCUCUUGGGAGGACGUGAUGUGCAGGCAGGCAUGCCUACAGUUGAACAACCAAUUGAUCAGAGUAACAGAGGCAUGGGUGAUACUCCAAAGCGUUCAAACCUUUCACGAAGAAUAGCAUCCUUGGUCAGGUUCCGUGAGAAACGCAAGGAAAGAUGUUUUGACAAGAAAAUUAGGUAUUCCGUAAGAAAAGAGGUGGCACAGAGGAUGCAUAGGAAGAAUGGGCAGUUUGCAUCCCUGAAGGAAAACCCAGGUUCAUCUAAUUGGGAUUCUGCACAGAGUACUGGUCAAGAUGGCACUCUUCAUUCUGAAUCAGUACGUAGAUGUCACCAUUGUGGUGUCAGUGAAAAUAAUACUCCUGCAAUGCGUCGUGGGCCAGCUGGACCAAGGACUUUAUGCAAUGCAUGUGGCCUUAUGUGGGCUAACAAGGGCACACUCAGAGAUCUUAGUAAGGGAGGAAGAAAUCUUACUGUUGAGCAAAGUGAUCUGGUGCUUGGUUUACCUAUCAACUUGAAUGGAAUUUGCAGGACACUCCUAUUGAUGUCAAGCCUACUGCUGUUCUUGAAGAGGAAUUACCUAUCACCCAUGAUGAGCAAGGUAGUUCUGAAGAUCCUUCCAAGUCAAACACUGCUGAUGGUUCUAGUAAUCGUGUUGUAAACCCCAGUGAUGAGGAAUUGCCUGAAACUGCACAACACUUUACGAAUGCUCUGCCACUGGGAAUUGGUCAUUCUUCAACCGAUGAUAAUGAACAGGAACCUCUGGUCGAGAUUUCUAAUCCUUCAGAUACAGAUAUUGACAUUCCAGGAAACUUUGAUUAGAAGGUACUAAGUGAUUAUUAUGUUGAGGGGUUUUACAUAAUGGUCCCUCUGUAGUAUAUUGGUGUGCUAAUGAGACGCAGAUCUAGAAGCAGUGAUACAUUCCACGAGACAAUUAGGAAAUUCAAGGUUAUGAUUAAUUGUAGACCUCGGAAAUGGAAAUGAUUACCGAUUAGCAAGUGUGAAGAAGCUCUGCUGUUCGGGUCUAACAUUAUGUAGUCUGCAAUAUUGAUGCUGGUAUAAGUGCCAAAAUAUUGUUUGUGUAUAAGAUAUCAAAUGAUCUUCCUUCGGUGUUUAUAUCAUGAAAUAUUCAUUAGUUAGGGCCUGUGUUAGUAAAAAUGCUGUCUGCUUGUCCCUGACUAUAAUAAUUUCAUCGAGGCCAAAGCUCUGCUACCCUGAUUUUAGAGAUGAAAUUUCGGUGAUAUGCUGCGUCACUCAAGGAUGAACUGCUAAUUUGAAUAUCAAUGCAGCGGUUUGCUAUUGCUAAUUCCGACCUUUAAUGAAGUUCAGGCUUGUGCUGCUGGGCUCUUGGUGAAACAUUUGGAUAUGUUAAUACGUACAGAUGAACUUGUUCCAAAUGUACAUAUAUAUACAUAUAAAUAAAUAUUAGUUGUCGUCUUAUC